rnacentral:rRNA from 1 species
GUUAAGUGGAAAAGGAUGUGGCGUUGCCCAGACAACUAGGAUGUUGGCUUAGAAGCAGCCAUCAUUUAAAGAGUGCGUAAUAGCUCACUAGUCGAGUGACACUGCGCCGAAAAUGUACCGGGGCUAAACAUAUUACCGAAGCUGUGGAUUGUCCUUUGGACAAUGGUAGGAGAGCGUUCUAAGGGCGUUGAAGCAUGAUCGUAAGGACAUGUGGAGCGCUUAGAAGUGAGAAUGCCGGUGUGAGUAGCGAAAGACGGGUGAGAAUCCCGUCCACCGAUUGACUAAGGUUUCCAGAGGAAGGCUCGUCCGCUCUGGGUUAGUCGGGUCCUAAGCUGAGGCCGACAGGCGUAGGCGAUGGAUAACAGGUUGAUAUUCCUGUACCACCUAUAAUCGUUUUAAUCGAUGGGGGGACGCAGUAGGAUAGGCGAAGCGUGCGAUUGGAUUGCACGUCUAAGCAGUAAGGCUGAGUAUUAGGCAAAUCCGGUACUCGUUAAGGCUGAGCUGUGAUGGGGAGAAGACAUUGUGUCUUCGAGUCGUUGAUUUCACACUGCCGAGAAAAGCCUCUAGAUAGAAAAUAGGUGCCCGUACCGCAAACCGACACAGGUAGUCAAGAUGAGAAUUCUAAGGUGAGCGAGCGAACUCUCGUUAAGGAACUCGGCAAAAUGACCCCGUAACUUCGGGAGAAGGGGUGCUCUUUAGGGUUAACGCCCAGAAGAGCCGCAGUGAAUAGGCCCAAGCGACUGUUUAUCAAAAACACAGGUCUCUGCUAAACCGUAAGGUGAUGUAUAGGGGCUGACGCCUGCCCGGUGCUGGAAGGUUAAGAGGAGUGGUUAGCUUCUGCGAAGCUACGAAUCGAAGCCCCAGUAAACGGCGGCCGUAACUAUAACGGUCCUAAGGUAGCGAAAUUCCUUGUCGGGUAAGUUCCGACCCGCACGAAAGGCGUAACGAUUUGGGCACUGUCUCAACGAGAGACUCGGUGAAAUCAUAGUACCUGUGAAGAUGCAGGUUACCCGCGACAGGACGGAAAGACCCCGUGGAGCUUUACUGUAGCCUGAUAUUGAAAUUCGGCACAGCUUGUACAGGAUAGGUAGGAGCCUUUGAAACGUGAGCGCUAGCUUACGUGGAGGCGCUGGUGG